rnacentral:rRNA from 1 species
UGCAGUCGAACGAUGAUCCGGUUUCGGCCGGGGAUUAGUGGCGAACGGGUGAGUAACACGUGGGCAAUCUGCCCUGCACUCUGGGACAAGCCCUGGAAACGGGGUCUAAUACCGGAUAGUACCUUCGGGCGCAUGCCUGUUGGUGGAAAGCUCCGGCGGUGCAGGAUGGGCCCGCGGCCUAUCAGCUUGUUGGUGGGGUGAUGGCCUACCAAGGCGACGACGGGUAGCCGGCCUGAGAGGGCGACCGGCCACACUGGGACUGAGACACGGCCCAGACUCCUACGGGAGGCAGCAGUGGGGAAUAUUGCACAAUGGGCGCAAGCCUGAUGCAGCGACGCCGCGUGAGGGAUGACGGCCUUCGGGUUGUAAACCUCUUUCAGCAGGGAAGAAGCGAGAGUGACGGUACCUGCAGAAGAAGCGCCGGCUAACUACGUGCCAGCAGCCGCGGUAAUACGUAGGGCGCAAGCGUUGUCCGGAAUUAUUGGGCGUAAAGAGCUCGUAGGCGGCUUGUCGCGUCGGAUGUGAAAGCCCGGGGCUUAACCCCGGGUCUGCAUUCGAUACGGGCAGGCUGGAGUUCGGUAGGGGAGAUCGGAAUUCCUGGUGUAGCGGUGGAAUGCGCAGAUAUCAGGAGGAACACCGGUGGCGAAGGCGGAUCUCUGGGCCGAUACUGACGCUGAGG